rnacentral:rRNA from 1 species
UGGGGAAUCUUGCGCAAUGCGCGAAAGCGUGACGCAGCAACGCCGCGUGAGGGAAGAAGGCCUUAGGGUUGUAAACCUCUUUCAGGAGGGACGAAGGUCGGCACGUUAAUAGCGUGUCCGAUUGACGGUACCUCCACAAGAAGCCCCGGCUAACUACGUGCCAGCAGCCGCGGUAAUACGUAGGGGGCAAGCGUUGUCCGGAAUUAUUGGGCGUAAAGAGCGUGUAGGCGGUCCGGUAAGUCAGCUGUGAAAGUCAAGGGCUCAACCCUUGAAAGCCGGUUGAUACUGUCGGGCUAGAGUCCGGAAGAGGCGAGUGGAAUUCCCGGUGUAGCGGUGAAAUGCGCAGAUAUCGGGAGGAACACCAAUGGCGAAGGCAGCUCGCUGGGACGGUACUGACGCUGAGACGCGAAAGCGUGGGGAGCAAACAGGAUUAGAUACCCUGGUAGUCCACGCCGUAAACGAUGGGCACUAGGUGUU